rnacentral:rRNA from 1 species
GUGUCAGCAGCCGCGGUAAUACGUAGGUGGCAAGCGUUGUCCGGAUUUAUUGGGCGUAAAGCGAGUGCAGGCGGUUCAAUAAGUCUGAUGUGAAAGCCUUCGGCUCAACCGGAGAAUUGCAUCAGAAACUGUUGAACUUGAGUGCAGAAGAGGAGAGUGGAACUCCAUGUGUAGCGGUGGAAUGCGUAGAUAUAUGGAAGAACACCAGUGGCGAAGGCGGCUCUCUGGUCUGCAACUGACGCUGAGGCUCGAAAGCAUGGGUAGCGAACAGGAUUAGAUACCCUGGUAGUCCAUGCCGUAAACGAUGAGUGCUAAGUGUUGGGAGGUUUCCGCCUCUCAGUGCUGCAGCUAACGCAUUAAGCACUCCGCCUGGGGAGUACGACCGCAAGGUUGAA